UGAUGAAUAGUGGUUCUGUUUCUCUGAUUGAACGCUGACUGAUUCACCUUGAUAUCUAGUGGCCAAGAGAGGCUUGUAAUAUAGAACUGGUGAUAAUAGUUGACAUAUCAGGAUUUAACCUGAGUGUCUUUAUCCUGGGCUAUGGAGUGAUGAAAUCAGACAGACAAGAUGGGAUGGCACUUCUCCAAAAGGGACAGUAUUGACUGCUACCAUCUGUGAAGUUCCCUACUAGCACAUUUUACUUGUUUAAAACAUCAUUUUCAUGUUCUGCUGCUUCUGUCCCACCCCUCAUGCCAUGCAACGCUCGGGUUCACAGGCUCCAGGCCAAGGCAGAGCCGCCAAGCAGUCUUCCUCUCACCGUUUCCUCUACCCCCCAUCUCACCCCCAUUUGUGUGCUUUGCAUUCCUUUCUCUCCCAUGCAGGGGCCAGCAGAAUUUACCCCACUUUCACAUGCUCUGAAAAGAACUGUUUUUGAGUUGUUGUCUUUGAAGAUGCCUCGCUGAUACUGCGGAACAGCACAUCAGCUAAAAAACGGCCCCAACAACCAUUAGAUGCCUUUGCCCAUGAAGGAAGAAGCUGCUACUUCUUUGAGAACUGCCAUCUUGAGUUGAGACUGUGCAGUCCUUGGCCCUGAUGCUCAGCCCUCUUAUCUUUUCUUUGCGGAAGUCCCUGAUGAGGGAAGCCACAGGCAACUUCAUGGUAAAUGGUUUGAUGGAUGUGGCAACAGUCUGAUGCAUUUUUGAUGGAUAUAAAUAGUCUGGUGGACCCAAAUGUUUUCUCAGCAAACUCCUGGGAUGAUUUUUCUACCAAGGUUGGAAAAGAAGUUAUGUCUAGAAUCUCUUAGACAAUCUGAAACUUCCUUGGAUGUUUAAAAGGAAUUAGAAUAAAGGAACACAUUGCUAAAGUGAUGGAGAAGGAGGAGCUAGGAGAGAAAGCAGGGGCAGAGUGUCUUCAACAAAGGGACAGCACAUAUCUAUCUCAGAUCUUUUAGAUGCCUCUGAAUUAAAAGAUUUUCUUUCUGUCCUUUUCAGCCAUUGAAAUUCCAAAUUUGACUCUUUUUGAUUCACUCCAUUCUGUCUUUUUCCUUCAUGCAGGUAUACCAGGUUGCAAAUGGAAAGGCACAGAAAAAGUUCAGGAAGGCUCCUGGGUCCUUAAAUCCUGUAUUCAGGGGGCAGCCCCCUUGCUGUCCCUUGGUCGCCAGGGAAUUCCUUUGUGUAGGUUAGAGGCAGACCUAGGGCCUGAAACAAAGCAGAACAAGGGGCUACCUGUUCCCUUCCCUGUAGGCCCACACCCAGAUCUCAGCUGCCUUUAUCUCACCCCUCCUACGCAUCAACAAGAAGAAGGGAGACAGCACAGAGCUUUUGUCCCAAUGUCUAGAACAGAGAUGAUAGGAGGCCACCCACACAGGUGUCCUAGAUCAGGGCAUCAGCCAUAGAAUUUGCCAAUUCUCCUUGAAAGCUCCUGGGUUUUUUCUUCUACACGUAGUCCGAAUAGUCCUAGUUAAUAGAGCAACGAAUCACAGGAAACCAAACCUGGUUCAAAAGAAUCAUACAUCUCAGGCUAUCUUCUAUCUGAAGCUUUACAGCUGGGCCAAGCAAAACCAAGUUAAGUUUUUCUUUGGAACUCUCUAGCCUCAUGUUCUUGUUUUUGUCCACUUUUCCAAAUCACCAGCUUUCUUUGGAUGCACAGCAUCUUCUGG
rnacentral:lncRNA from 1 species